GACGAACGCUGGCGGCGUGCUUAACACAUGUAAGUCGAACGGAAAGGCCCUGCUUUUGUGGGGUGCUCGAGUGGCGAACGGGUGAGUAACACGUGAGUAACCUGCCCUUGACUUUGGGAUAACUUCAGGAAACUGGGGCUAAUACCGGAUAGGAGCUCCUGCUGCAUGGUGGGGGUUGGAAAGUUUCGGCGGUUGGGGAUGGACUCGCGGCUUAUCAGCUUGUUGGUGGGGUAGUGGCUUACCAAGGGUUUGACGGGUAGCCGGCCUGGGAGGGUGACCGGCCACAUUGCGACUGCGAUACGGCCCAGACUCCUACGGGAGGCAGCAGUGGGGUAUAUUGCACAAUGGGCGGAAGCCUGAUGCAGCAACUCCGCGUGCGAGAUGACGGCCUUCGGGUUGUAACCCGCUUUCGCCUGUGACGAAGCGUUAGUGACGGUAAUGGGUAAAGAAGCACCGGCUAACUACGUG
rnacentral:rRNA from 1 species